rnacentral:rRNA from 1 species
CAGUAGCCGCGGGAAUACAGAGGGUGCAAGCGUUAAUCGGAAUUACUGGGCGUAAAGCGCGCGUAGGUGGUUUGUUAAGUCGGAUGUGAAAUCCCCGGGCUCAACCUGGGAACUGCAUCCCAAACUGGCAAGCUAGAGUAUGGUAGAGGGUAGUGGAAUUUCCUGUGUAGCGGUGAAAUGCGUAGAUAUAGGAAGGAACACCAGUGGCGAAGGCGACUACCUGGACUGAUACUGACACUGAGGUGCGAAAGCGUGGGGAGCAAACAGGAUUAGAUACCCCUGUAGUCCCUGUCUCUUAUAA